rnacentral:rRNA from 1 species
UAUAUCGGAACGUGCCCAGUUGUGGGGGAUAACGCAGCGAAAGCUGUGCUAAUACCGCAUACGAUCUACGGAUGAAAGCGGGGGAUCGCAAGACCUCGCGCGAUUGGAGCGGCCGAUAUCAGAUCAGCUAGUUGGUGGGGUAAAAGCCCACCAAGGCGACGAUCUGUAGCUGGUCUGAGAGGACGACCAGCCACACUGGAACUGAGACACGGUCCAG